rnacentral:rRNA from 1 species
GUUCCCCACGCACGAAACCCUAGCCCCUUUCGUUCCGCAUGCUGCCAGCCCAGAGAGGCGACCUCACUCUUCCCUCCUAUGGCGCCACCGCUCCAACCCAUAGCCGGCUCCCUCUCCCCUCCCUCCCUCUCCACUCCUUCCCAUGGUGCCAGAUCUGAAGGGGUCAAGGUCAUUUCGCUCCCUGGUCCAGAGCGAGGUAGGCGGCCUCUGGUCCCUCUGCUUCCGGCGACAUGUGCCUCCAUCUUUGCCAACCAACCUUCGGUGACCAACAGGUAGCCAUCCAUGGCGGUAACAACAGCGGGCACUUGUGCACAAGGAUUCCUGCUUCCGGCUACUCACGAGCUUCCGGCAGGUGGCGCAGUGAUGUCCCGCCCUCUUUGCCACUGCCUCCCCACCAAUUG